AGAACCUGCUUUUGCAAUAAAAGAAGCUGCUGAUUUUAUAAAAUCCAUUAUUUUAAAGUGUAGUAAGGGAUCAACCUCUUUUAGUCGAUUACCAUCGAGUAUUGAUGCCGCAGUGUGGAGGUUGUUGUCCCACGCAAGCUAACCUGUAAAAGUGUUUUGAGGGGAUGGGUACGGAUUAAGAAGCAAAAUUGGAUUAUUUACAGCUACUUAAGGUUUACAAAGACGACGUUAGUUUUGCAGUUUUUUUGAAUGUUGGUUUGAGAUAUUUUUGUACUGGAGCACUCUUUGUAAAUGCUUAAAUGCCAUAAAUUGAAAUGAAGUAAGUGAGAGAUUCUAACUUCAUAUAAUAUUUCCCUAUUUACUUAUACAGUACUUUAAUCCCACUGCUAAAAAGGUAGAGGAAAAAUACCGCCUUAAUAAACAAAAGCAAGAUGGCUGUUCUACAACGUGUUGUUCGAUUUGACGAAAAUAUAUGCUGAAUUUGCCAAGCAACUAGUUAUCUUGUUUACCGUGUGGAAAAGAAGCGUAUGUUGUAUUAAUUUAAAAGUGUGAUCUCAGAAUUAUUUUAUUGAGGGUAAAAUUUGGAUCCCAAUAUAUUGUCAUUUGGUCGGCUAUAUUUAAGGAAACUCACAUAGUAAUUAAUUGCAGGUAAUAUGCUAGCCAAGAACUUCAAAUUCCUAGGUAGAUAUUAAAUAACAAAUAAU